CGGAACCGUGAGGGAUUAACGGCAUUCUGGUUGGAAAGCUCUGUCACCCGGGAGGAUUAUGACGGUACCCGGAGAAGAAACCCCAGGCUAACUCCGUGCCAGCAGCCGCGGUAAUACGGAGGGGGCUAGCGUUGUUCGGAAUUACUGGGCGUAAAGCGCGCGUAGGCGGAUCGAUAAGUCAGGGGUGAAAUCCCGGGGCUCAACCCCGGAACUGCCUUUGAUACUGCCGAUCUAGAGUUCGAGAGAGGUGAGUGGAAUUCCGAGUGUAGAGGUGAAAUUCGUAGAUAUUCGGAGGAACACCAGUGGCGAAGGCGGCUCACUGGCUCGAUACUGACGCUGAGGUGCGAAAGCGUGGGAGCAAACAGGAUUAGAUACCCUGGUAGUCCACACCGUAAACGAUGAAAGCUAGUCGUCGGGUAGUAUACUAUUCGGUGACGCACCUAACGCAUUAAGCUUUCCGCCUGGGGAGUACGGUCGCAAGAUUAAA
rnacentral:rRNA from 1 species